GGGUUGUGAGGUUAAGCGACUAAGCGUACACGGUGGAUGCCCUGGCAGUCAGAGGCGAUGAAGGACGUGCUAAUCUGCGAAAAGCGCCGGCGAGGUGAUAUGAACCUUUGACCCGGCGAUGUCCGAAUGGGGAAACCCAGUGUGAUUCGUCACACUAUCGUUAACUGAAUACAUAGGUUAACGAGGCGAACCGGGGGAACUGAAACAUCUAAGUACCCCGAGGAAAAGAAAUCAACCGAGAUUCCCCCAGUAGCGGCGAGCGAACGGGGAGCAGCCCAGAGUCUGAAUCAGCUUGUGUGUUAGUGGAAGCGUCUGGAAAGUCGCACGGUACAGGGUGACAGUCCCGUACACGAAAAUGCACAGGUUGUGAACUCGAAGAGUAGGGCGGGACACGUGGUAUCCUGUCUGAAUAUGGGGGGACCAUCCUCCAAGGCUAAAUACUCCUGACUGACCGAUAGUGAACCAGUACCGUGAGGGAAAGGCGAAAAGAACCCCGGCGAGGGGAGUGAAAAAGAACCUGAAACCGUGUACGUACAAGCAGUGGGAGCACCUUCGUGGUGUGACUGCGUACCUUUUGUAUAAUGGGUCAGCGACUUAUAUUCUGUAGCAAGGUUAACCGUAUAGGGGAGCCGAAGGGAAACCGAGUCUUAACUGGGCGUUAAGUUGCAGGGUAUAGACCCGAAACCCGGUGAUCUAGCCAUGGGCAGGUUGAAGGUUGGGUAACACUAACUGGAGGACCGAACCGACUAAUGUUGAAAAAUUAGCGGAUGACUUGUGGCUGGGGGUGAAAGGCCAAUCAAACCGGGAGAUAGCUGGUUCUCCCCGAAAGCUAUUUAGGUAGCGCCUCGUGAACUCAUCUUCGGGGGUAGAGCACUGUUUCGGCUAGGGGGCCAUCCCGGCUUACCAACCCGAUGCAAACUACGAAUACCGAAGAAUGUUAUCACGGGAGACACACGGCGGGUGCUAACGUCCGUCGUGAAGAGGGAAACAACCCAGACCGCCAGCUAAGGUCCCAAAGUCAUGGUUAAGUGGGAAACGAUGUGGGAAGGCACAGACAGCCAGGAUGUUGGCUUAGAAGCAGCCAUCAUUUAAAGAAAGCGUAAUAGCUCACUGGUCGAGUCGGCCUGCGCGGAAGAUGUAACGGGGCUAAACCAUGCACCGAAGCUGCGGCAGCGACACUAUGUGUUGUUGGGUAGGGGAGCGUUCUGUAAGCCGUUGAAGGUGUGCUGUGAGGCAUGCUGGAGGUAUCAGAAGUGCGAAUGCUGACAUAAGUAACGAUAAAGCGGGUGAAAAGCCCGCUCGCCGGAAGACCAAGGGUUCCUGUCCAACGUUAAUCGGGGCAGGGUGAGUCGACCCCUAAGGCGAGGCCGAAAGGCGUAGUCGAUGGGAAACAGGUUAAUAUUCCUGUACUUGGUGUUACUGCGAAGGGGGGACGGAGAAGGCUAUGUUAGCCGGGCGACGGUUGUCCCGGUUUAAGCAUGUAGGCGGAGGUUCCAGGUAAAUCCGGUACCUUUUAACGCUGAGGUGUGAUGACGAGGCACUACGGUGCUGAAGUAACAAAUGCCCUGCUUCCAGGAAAAGCCUCUAAGCAUCAGGUAACAUCAAAUCGUACCCCAAACCGACACAGGUGGUCAGGUAGAGAAUACCAAGGCGCUUGAGAGAACUCGGGUGAAGGAACUAGGCAAAAUGGUGCCGUAACUUCGGGAGAAGGCACGCUGAUAUGUAGGUGAAGCCCCUGCGGGUGGAGCUGAAAUCAGUCGAAGAUACCAGCUGGCUGCAACUGUUUAUUAAAAACACAGCACUGUGCAAACACGAAAGUGGACGUAUACGGUGUGACGCCUGCCCGGUGCCGGAAGGUUAAUUGAUGGGGUUAGCGGCAACGCGAAGCUCUUGAUCGAAGCCCCGGUAAACGGCGGCCGUAACUAUAACGGUCCUAAGGUAGCGAAAUUCCUUGUCGGGUAAGUUCCGACCUGCACGAAUGGCGUAAUGAUGGCCAGGCUGUCUCCACCCGAGACUCAGUGAAAUUGAACUCGCUGUGAAGAUGCAGUGUACCCGCGGCAAGACGGAAAGACCCCGUGAACCUUUACUAUAGCUUGACACUGAACACUGGUCCUUGAUGUGUAGGAUAGGUGGGAGGCUUUGAAGUGUGGACGCCAGUCUGCAUGGAGCCGUCCUUGAAAUACCACCCUUUAAUGGCUGGUGUUCUAACGUAGACCCGUAAUCCGGGUUGCGGACAGUGUCUGGUGGGUAGUUUGACUGGGGCGGUCUCCUCCCAAAGAGUAACGGAGGAGCACGAAGGUUAGCUAAUCCUGGUCGGACAUCAGGAGGUUAGUGCAAUGGCAUAAGCUAGCUUGACUGCGAGAGUGACGGCUCGAGCAGGUGCGAAAGCAGGUCAUAGUGAUCCGGUGGUUCUGAAUGGAAGGGCCAUCGCUCAACGGAUAAAAGGUACUCCGGGGAUAACAGGCUGAUACCGCCCAAGAGUUCAUAUCGACGGCGGUGUUUGGCACCUCGAUGUCGGCUCAUCACAUCCUGGGGCUGAAGUAGGUCCCAAGGGUAUGGCUGUUCGCCAUUUAAAGUGGUACGCGAGCUGGGUUUAGAACGUCGUGAGACAGUUCGGUCCCUAUCUGCCGUGGGCGCUGGAGAAUUGAGGGGGGCUGCUCCUAGUACGAGAGGACCGGAGUGGACGCAUCACUGGUGUUCGGGUUGUCAUGCCAAUGGCACUGCCCGGUAGCUAAAUGCGGAAAAGAUAAGUGCUGAAAGCAUCUAAGCACGAAACUUGCCCCGAGAUGAGUUCUCCCUGAGACUUUAAGUCUCCUGAAGGAACGUUGAAGACGACGACGUUGAUAGGUCGGGUGUGUAAGCGCAGCGAUGCGUUGAGCUAACCGAUACUAAUGAACCGUGAGGCUUAACCUUACAACGCCGAAG
rnacentral:rRNA from 1 species